UCGCUCCUCACCCGGGACGCAAUCCUCACGCUCGCGCAGCCCGCCUCCAUCUCCACAUUCCGCCGCCCGCCCGCCGCCCCCUCCUCCCUUUGGCAGUAGAGAGCAGCUGCCAACAGCAUCCCCACAUCCCUCGCCAAGGCCUCCGCGCGGCCAGGUUCUCACGGUGCCGUCGCCUCCACAGCCCCCGACCACCGACCUCUCGACCACCCCAUCUCCCGGCUUCUCGAUCUGAUCAACGCCUUCCUGGACAGGAGCUCGCCCCAGCCUCCGUACAGGCCGAACUUCCGCCGGCCUGUGCAGGAGCUCCCGGUGGCAUGCUCAUCUACUCGACGCCGGCCUCCCGAUCUGCUCGCCACCGGCCUGUGCAGGAGCUCACCGGCGGCAUGCUCAUCUUCUUGUUAUUUUUUCAGAAUCUAAUUGCACCCGGAUUGGCAAGAGACAUAAUAAUCUCCCAUCGUCUGAAUCUUUCAUCUUUUAAAUCGGGAAGCACCUUGCUAUUAUUUUGGGGUAAUCUGAAUUGUUCAUCUAUCUGUAAUCUUUGCACACUAAGGUCUGUAGUUUUACAUAUGAUGUGCACAUAUGAUUUGUGUACUUGAGUAGCACCACAUGAAUAUAUCCGACAAACUGUUGGUCUGCUAUGCAGUUGAAGAUAUGUUGGGUUUUAUUUCUUAAGAGUAUUGAUUCGUUUGUGUCAGGUUUAGAUGUAUACAUAGGCUUCCCCUUAAUUUAUACAAUUUGGUAUUCCUUAAAUCACUUAUUAUAUGGUGAAAAUCACUAGAAUUGUGUAAGGAUCUGGUAUCCUGCAUGCAUGGAUUAGUUGCCAUAUUGAUCAGUUUUCUUCUCUUCCGUUUUUUGAAGAUUUUUUAACCUUUGUUAAUGCGAGCUGGUACAUAUGUUCAACUGACCCAUUUCAAAAAUAGCUACCACCUACUCUUAUCCUUUAUUUGCCCUAAUUGGUUGAAAUUCUUUAAUCUAUGGCAGGCCAUACUUUUAAUUCAUGUGCCUACUAGAUUUAGGAGUUUUAUAAUAGAAGGUUCUUCUUACUUAAGUAAUAAUUCUCACCUUUAUGUCAUUGUUUCAAUCUAUGGCGGCUGUAGCGGUGUCGACGUCGGUGGCUGGCUCGCCCAGAUCAGACCUGGAGGACCACGGACUUGGAGGCCAUGCACGAUGCCGUGGUUGCAGCUAGAACGUGAGGAUGCAAAUGUGCGAGCCUGCAUGACACAGGUGAACUCUAGGCUCACCCGGUGCGUGUGUCUUGGCAAGUCAGCUGUUGGCGGUGGUCAUCAACUCCUCUACACCUCCACAUGAGACAUGCCGCAGGUCGACUCAAUCCAUGGUAGAUACUGUCAAGCCGAGGCAACCGCCCAUGCCCACCACCGAGGCCCUGUCGCGCCUUAUCCGAGAGGACGAUGCUGGUGCCGCCGAAGUGGAGUAGAAUGGCAUUUGUGCCACUCCCAUCACCUAAUCCACGCCCCCAUUUGGCUCUCAUGAUUUACUAUGAUUCAAAGUUGAGUGAACUCGUUGGCGUGCUUGCCUGAAACCUAGCUCAGAUUUCUGACAUGUGAUUGUGAAGCCGGAUGCAGACGUGGCAGGGCCAUAGUGUAGGAGCCAGGAAUCAAUCCGGCCUCAUAUGGAUCCUACAGCGAUGACAAGGUCCAUAGUGCACGAGUUGAGAUUGUCAACACCGCUUCCCUAUCACCGAACAUGGCGUAUCAGGUCAUCUAGCACCUCUCCAACACCUGCUUUAUAUAAUUAUCUUUUGCCUUUUUUAUAGACUUAUUGCUCCUUACGUUUUACUAAAAAUGUAAAAUAGUUAGCUAAACCUUGAAAUAAUAGCCAACACCUUAUUUUUCCCAAUUACAGAAUUAAAAGAUUCAUUUUUUACUAUUCCCGAAUGUGAAGUGCCAUGAUUAUCUUAUUUCAAAAUAUUUUCUAUUUGAUUUGCCUAGAUUUUCAUAGCAUAACAGACACUGAUUGGAAGUAAGAAGCUAAAAAUUGGACACCUGUACAUUACCAACUCGUAAAUUACUGCAUGGUGAUGGAGUUUGUUUCGGGGCAAUAGGUCCAAUAUCAUAUCCACUUAUUGUUUUUUCACAAAAAAUGUUGUUUGUUGGUUGCAUUUCUAUUCCUGACUACAGGUUAGGUAAAUUAUGUUUAUGACUCGCUCUCCGAGCCAUUGAGAUACUUGCACAACUGAAGGAUCAAAGGAGUAUACUAAUCAUUGCCACUGAUACAAAUUUUGGAAUGUGUACUUGCAUAAUAAACAAUAUAGUGCACUUUGACUUGAAAAGUGAAAGUUUACUUGUCAAUUUGAGGUAUCGUCAACCCCCAAUAUGCAAGGUAAGAAGCACAAUUCUUAUUAUUUUGUCCUAUUGUUUGUUUUGCACCGUGUUGCUAGACUAUUGCUUCUUCUCUUAUGUGUGCUAUUUCUAUGUUUGGGAAUCCAUACUAUAUAAUAUUGACUUGACUUACCAAAUUGGACACCAGAUAGUGAUAUUUUUUUAGCAUCCUAUCCCUCAUACUUGCAGUCUGCUCCUUGCUACACAUAGUGCUUUUUAAGAUAAUCAUAUUAACAUUUGCUUCGGCUGCUACAUAAUUGUUGAUAGAACUUGACAUUCAUGUAGUCCAGAAUGUACUCCUGCUUACGCAAUUGAUGAGUUCAUCUUGAAAAUACACCUAUGAUUUAGAUUUACCUUAUGGACACCUUUGUUGACAGUGGAAUGAACAUAUGUACGUUCGAGCUCAUCACAUAUGAAGAACUAUAUGCAGAUUCACAUUGUGGUGUUAUUAUUGGUGGGUAGAAAUCAGCCAUGAUGUGAGCCAUCAUAAAAGACGUGGCAGGGCCAUAGUGUAGGAGCCAGGAAUCAAUCCGGCCUCAUAUGGAUCCUACAGCGAUGACAAGGCUAAACAGAAGUAUCGUCGGCACUGUAGAAUAUCAGUUUACCUAUAAGAGAUCUUUGGAUUUUUUGAGGGGUUAUGGUGUUUUGCGAAUUAUGGUUGGAUUAUUACUGUUCGUGUUGUACCACUCCAAAACGCAUGUGUGAAUAACAUUUUACUGUCUGAGUUCUGAAACAUCGGUUCCUUGUGUGCAUGGACGUCUUCCUCCCCUUCCGCUGUAGAAGCUUUUAGUAUGCUUCACAUUUUUGAAGGGCAUGCAUUUAUUUUUCCUGUACUGUUAGUACCUUCCAGCGGUAGGUUAAUUGUAGUUGGUAUUUAUAAUCAAUUGUCUGCAUCGAAUUAUUUAUUUGUUCAGGACCAUGAAGCGCCAAAUGAUGUAUUUAAUCAACGUAAUGGCAAAUGCCAUUUUCCUUGGCUACCAAACAGCUUAUGCUCUAUAUGCUCUCAUUAAUAUGCUUUCAUCUCAUGUCUCAUUUUUUUUUAUGUUGAAUCUGUUUUCAGCUUCAUAGUAAUUUGGAAUCGCUGAAUGCCAAACUCAGCCAGCAUGCCUAAUAAAGCAUAAAGCUCUUAUUUUCUACUGUUAGCACUGUCUAUUGAUGUCAGGUCCAUAGUGCACGAGUUGAGAUUGUCAACACCGCUUCCCUAUCACCGAACAUGGCGUAUCAGGUCAUCUAGCACCUCUCCAACACCUGCUUUAUAUAAUUAUCUUUUGCCUUUUUUAUAGACUUAUUGCUCCUUACGUUUUACUAAAAAUGUAAAAUAGUUAGCUAAACCUUGAAAUAAUAGCCAACACCUUAUUUUUCCCAAUUACAGAAUUAAAAGAUUCAUUUUUUACUAUUCCCGAAUGUGAAGUGCCAUGAUUAUCUUAUUUCAAAAUAUUUUCUAUUUGAUUUGCCUAGAUUUUCAUAGCAUAACAGACACUGAUUGGAAGUAAGAAGCUAAAAAUUGGACACCUGUACAUUACCAACUCGUAAAUUACUGCAUGGUGAUGGAGUUUGUUUCGGGGCAAUAGGUCCAAUAUCAUAUCCACUUAUUGUUUUUUCACAAAAAAUGUUGUUUGUUGGUUGCAUUUCUAUUCCUGACUACAGGUUAGGUAAAUUAUGUUUAUGACUCGCUCUCCGAGCCAUUGAGAUACUUGCACAACUGAAGGAUCAAAGGAGUAUACUAAUCAUUGCCACUGAUACAAAUUUUGGAAUGUGUACUUGCAUAAUAAACAAUAUAGUGCACUUUGACUUGAAAAGUGAAAGUUUACUUGUCAAUUUGAGGUAUCGUCAACCCCCAAUAUGCAAGGUAAGAAGCACAAUUCUUAUUAUUUUGUCCUAUUGUUUGUUUUGCACCGUGUUGCUAGACUAUUGCUUCUUCUCUUAUGUGUGCUAUUUCUAUGUUUGGGAAUCCAUACUAUAUAAUAUUGACUUGACUUACCAAAUUGGACACCAGAUAGUGAUAUUUUUUUAGCAUCCUAUCCCUCAUACUUGCAGUCUGCUCCUUGCUACACAUAGUGCUUUUUAAGAUAAUCAUAUUAACAUUUGCUUCGGCUGCUACAUAAUUGUUGAUAGAACUUGACAUUCAUGUAGUCCAGAAUGUACUCCUGCUUACGCAAUUGAUGAGUUCAUCUUGAAAAUACACCUAUGAUUUAGAUUUACCUUAUGGACACCUUUGUUGACAGUGGAAUGAACAUAUGUACGUUCGAGCUCAUCACAUAUGAAGAACUAUAUGCAGAUUCACAUUGUGGUGUUAUUAUUGGUGGGUAGAAAUCAGCCAUGAUGUGAGCCAUCAUAAAAGGUAUAUGCGCAGAAGUAUGAUGUGAACGGUUCUUCUGUUCGCAGGUGGAAUUGUGAGCUCGCUCUCUCGACCACGCGUGGGUCUACUGGGAUGGGAAUAAUUUUUUUUUCCAGUUGCAUGCAUUUUGGGGAAAAGAGAAAUAUGGGUGACCAUUAAGCCGCACAUAUUGAGAAAAUGAGUUUAUUAAGUGUUUACACCAUAUCAUGUGACUCUUUCCGAAUGGUUGUUGAUUAAACCAUGUAACAUAUAUAGUUGUUGAGAUGUAUAGUUGUUGAGAUGGCAAUCAAGAUACGCUUAUGCAAACCUGUGGAAUAGUAAACAAUUGAUCUUCAUGUAGAAUCAUUCGUACUCUGCUAGAAU